rnacentral:rRNA from 1 species
UACGGAGGGGGCUAGCGUUGUUCGGAAUUACUGGGCGUAAAGCGCACGUAGGCGGCUUGGUAAGUUCGCGGUGAAAGCCUGGAGCUCAACUCCAGAAUUGCCUUUAAGACUGCCGAGCUAGCAGGUGAGAGAGGUGAGUGGAAUUCCGAGUGUAGAGGUGAAAUUCGUAGAUAUUCGGAAGAACACCAGUGGCGAAGGCGGCUCACUGGCUCAUACUGGACGCUGAGGUGCCAAAGCGUGGGGAGCAAACAGG